GCUUGUCUCAAAGAUUAAGCCAUGCAUGUCUAAGUAUAAGCCUUUGUACGGCGAAACUGCGAAUGGCUCAUUAAAACAGUUAUAGUUUAUUCGAUAAUCAAUUGCUACAUGGAUAACUGUAGUAAUUCUAGAGCUAAUACAUGCGUCAGAACCCAACUUUACGGAAGGGUCGUGUUUAUUAGAUACAAAACCAACAUCUCGUUGGUGAUUCAUAAUAACUUUCGGAUCGAUUUAUCGAUGCAUCAUUCAAGUUUCUGCCCUAUCAGCUUUGGAUGGUAGGGUAUUGGCCUACCAUGGCUUUAACGGGUAACGGAGAAUUAGGGUUCGAUUCCGGAGAGGGAGCCUGAGAAAUGGCUACCACAUCCAAGGAAGGCAGCAGG
rnacentral:rRNA from 1 species